rnacentral:misc_RNA from 1 species
UUGUGGAGGAGGACGCCGAAGGUGGGGCUAAUGACUGGGGUGAAGUCGUAACAAGGUAGCCGUACCGGAAGGUGCGGCUGGAUCACCUCCUAACAGGGAGACAACAAAAUGUUAAAUAUUAAUUUUGUCACCUUAGGUCGAUCGGUAUCUCACAUCCUUAAAUUUAUUAAGGAUCUUAUUUCCUAAGUUUUUUCUAGGUCACACCCAUUACUUUUCCUGGGCCAUUAGCUCAGGUGGUUAGAGCGCACCCCUGAUAAGGGUGAGGUCCCUGGUUCAAGUCCAGGAUGGCCCAUAUCUCUAUGUUGGGGGUAUAGCUCGGUUGGUAGAGCGCCUGCUUUGCAAGCAGGAUGUCAGCGGUUCGAGUCCGCUUACCUCCACUGAUCACCACCUCUUCCAUAAUUUAUUGAAGGGAAAUGUUUUGAGUUGUGAUCAAAUUCUGAACGAAUCUAGCUUCCUAAUUAAAUUUAUUAAGAUGCUGGACUCAUUGAAUCAAUUUCAUUGUUUUCAGAGAACCUUGACAACUGCAUAGAUUAUUUUUAAAGACAAUAAGCAUCUUUAAUGAUGCAGAUUUAUUAUUUGUGCGAAUGCAUUAAUAACAAUUCUAUUAAGCUGAUGCUUCAAUUAUUGAAGUUAUUGGUCAAGCUACAA